rnacentral:lncRNA from 1 species
AGAAAUAGAAUAACAGAGGAAAAAUGGUGUAUGUGAAUUGGAAAUGUGAAAACGUGAGUGAACCAAUUGAUUUGCACAACCUUUUGUUUUGCGGAAAAAAUGUGAUUUUUACAAGAUCAAUCGAUUGACAGUGCAUUACAAUCGAUUGCACGAACUUUCUGUAUAUGAACAGUGGAAAAUUUUUAGUGAGCCAAUCGAUUGACACUCAGGAUCAAUCGAUUGAUCCUCAACAAAUUUUGAAAAACAGAAAUGUGAGAGGAACCAAUCG